GAUGAACGCUAGCGGAAGGCUUAAUACAUGCAAGUCGAGCGGUAGGUGGCUUCGGCCAUUGAGAGCGGCGCACGGGUGAGUAACGCGUACAUGACCUGCCUGUCAGAAGGGGAUAGCCCUGGGAAACUGGGGAUUAAUACCCUAUGGUAUUGAUAUUAUGAAUGAUAUCAAUUAAAGUUGAGGCGCUGACAGAUGGAUGUGCGUCUGAUUAGCUAGUUGGUAGGGUAACGGCCUACCAAGGCGACGAUCAGUAGGGGGCGUGAGAGCGUGGUCCCCCACACGGGUACUGAGACACGGACCCGACUCCUACGGGAGGCAGCAGUAAGGAAUAUUGGUCAAUGCCCGCAAGG
rnacentral:rRNA from 1 species